UACAGAGGUCCCGAGCGUUGUUCGGAUUUAUUGGGCGUAAAGGGUGCGUAGGUGGCAAAGUAAGUUGGAUGUGAAAUCCUGGGGCUCAACCUCAGAAUUGCAUUCAAUACUGCUUAGCUAGAGAGCUGUAGAGGAGACUGGAAUUUACGGUGUAGCAGUGAAAUGCGUAGAUAUCGUAAGGAACGCCAGUGGCGAAAGCGGGUCUCUGGGCAGCAUCUGACACUGAGGCACGAAGGCCAGGGGAGCAAACGGG
rnacentral:rRNA from 1 species